rnacentral:rRNA from 1 species
CUACGGGCGGCUCCAGUGGGGAAUAUUGCACAAUGGAGGAAACUCUGAUGCAGCAACGCCGCGUGGAGGAUGACACUUUUCGGAGCGUAAACUCCUUUUAUAUAGGAAGAAGAUGACGGUACUAUAUGAAUAAGCGCCGGCUAACUCCGUGCCAGCAGCCGCGGUAAUACGGAGGUAGCAAGCGUUACUCGGAAUCACUGGGCGUAAAGAGCGUGUAGGCGGAUUAAAAAGUCAGAAGUGAAAUCCUAUAGCUUAACUAUAGAACUGCUUCUGAAACUCUUAAUCUAGAAUAUGGGAGAGGUAGAUGGAAUUUCUGGUGUAGGGGUAAAAUCCGUAGAGAUCAGAAGGAAUACCGAUUGCGAAGGCGAUCUACUAGAACAUUAUUGACGCUGAGACGCGAAAGCGUGGGGAGCAAACAGGAUUAGAUACCCGCGAGUC